CCUAUCGACAACGAUGAGAUGAUAUCCUUUAUUUUGAAUGGUCUUGAUUUUGAAUAUAAUCCCGCCGUCUCCUCUGUCUUGGGUCGGUCGGAUCCAAUUUCUAUCAAUGAUCUCUAUGCCCAAGUCAUGGCAUAUGAGA
rnacentral:snoRNA from 1 species